UUUGGUUUUCCGGGUUCACCAAAAACCUAUGUUGGUUUUACGGGCUCACCAACGAACCUAUGUUGGUUUUUCGGGCUCACCAACGAACCUUUACAAUUGGUUUCCCGGGUUCACCAAUCAACCUAUUCCGUUGGUUUUGCGGGCUAACCAACCAACCUCUACAAGUAGUUUAACAAACAAAGGAAGAAGAUUUAAACUCCUAGAUGAGCAAAUAAAACAAUAUAAUCUACAAAGAAGAGUUUAGAGAAUAUUUAUCGCUUGAUGUGACUUCUCUCUUUUUUGUCAAGGAAGCUUCUCUAUUUAAGGGUGGAUGGAGCUCUUGAUGACUCUUUGAAUCUGCUCAACCACUUUUCUUUGAUUCUUGCAUGAAAUAACUUUACAAGAUCUAAGCGUUGGACCAGCUGAUUCGGAGUGUAAGGAAGAGGCCUCCCCAGUUAACGUUUAUCCAGGUCCCUCUGCACCUGAAGGUGGACUUCUCUUCAAUUGCUUGUGGCACAAGUGCUUCCAUUCGUAUGAAGCACUUGAAUGAAGAAGAUUAGGGCACUUUCUCUUUCUUGUGUACUCUUUGAUAUUCUUUGGAAAGAAUGUUCUAUCUGAUGAAUAGUGUCACUUUAAAUAGUUUCCUACAUCCAUUGGACAAGCCCCAAUGGUUAGAAUUCAAAAACUAGCCGUUACUCACUGUUGGAAGGACAAAAAGUACUUCUGCAGAACUAGCCGUUAUGCUU
rnacentral:lncRNA from 1 species